CAGCAGCCGCGGGAAUACCGAGGGUGCGAGCGUUAAUCGGAUUUACUGGGCGUAAAGCGUGCGUAGGCGGCUUCUUAAGUCGGAUGUGAAAUCCCUGAGCUUAACUUAGGAAUUGCAUUCGAUACUGGGAAGCUAGAGUAUGGGAGAGGAUGGUAGAAUUCCAGGUGUAGCGGUGAAAUGCGUAGAGAUCUGGAGGAAUACCGAUGGCGAAGGCAGCCAUCUGGCCUAAUACUGACGCUGAGGUACGAAAGCAUGGGGAGCAAACAGGAUUAGAUACCCCAGUAGUCCCUGUCUCUUAUAA
rnacentral:rRNA from 1 species